AAGGCCUUUGGAAGUUUCCUUGGCUUCUACUGAAGCCACAGAAAUGUUGCCACUCAGGAUAUUCCCUCAUUCAGACAUGCCGACAAAGUGGGAAAGAACAUUUCCUGGCAAUGUCAGCCCUCCCAUGAGGUGGCCAAAGCUGUGCAGGACAGGCUGAUGUGCAUAAUUGUUCCUCCAGGUGCGGACAAGAGGAGACUCAGCAGGACCACCUGGAAUGCAGCGGUGGGCACGGCAAACACGGAGGCAGUAAAUGCUGUUACUGCCUGGCUUGUUUAUAUCAAAGACUUCAUUUUGGCUGUGUCCAUCGGUCUGACUAUUUUCAUAUUUGUUCACAAGGUGCUCCCUGCGUGGGUACAGGGUGCACAAGACAGAGCGCCUCGCAGCUUCGAGAGCCGGCUCUGAGCGCCCCAACAGCCGGGCAGAAGCCAGCAGAAUAUUUGCAGGAGCGUUUAAAUAAAGAUCAGCAGCACAAUC